GACAGAGGAUGCAAGCGUUAUCCGGAAUGAUUGGGCGUAAAGCGUCUGUAGGUGGCUUUUUAAGUCCGCCGUCAAAUCCCAGGGCCGUCAAACCCCUGGACAGGCGGUGGAAACUACCAAGCUGGAGUACGGUAGGGGCAGAGGGAAUUUCCGGUGGAGCGGUGAAAUGCGUAGAGAUCAGAAAGAACACCAACGGCGAAAGCACUCUGCUGGGCCGACACUGACACUGAGAGACGAAAGCUAGGGGAGCGAAUGGG
rnacentral:rRNA from 1 species